rnacentral:rRNA from 1 species
GCCCUUUUCCGGUUGAUCCUGCCGGAGGCCAUUGCUAUCGGAGUCCGAUUUAGCCAUGCUAGUCGCACGGGUUAGACCCGUGGCGGAUAGCUCAGUAUCACGUGGCCAAACUACCCUGUGGACCAGGACACUCUCGGGAAACUGAGGCUAAUCCUGGAUACAGCUUCCAGCCUGGAGUGGCGGAAGCUGGAAACGCUCCGGCGCCACAGGAUGUGGCUGCGGCCGAUUAGGUAGACGGUGGGGUAACGGCCCACCGUGCCAGUAAUCGGUACGGGUGAUGAGAGUCAGAGCCCGGAGACGGUAUCUGAGACAAGAUACCGGGCCCUACGGGGCGCAGCAGGCGCGAAACCUUUACACUGCACGACAGUGCGAUAAGGGGACUCCGAGUGCGAGGGCAUACAGUCCUCGCUUUUCUGUACCGUAAGGUGGUACAGGAACAAGUGCUGGGCAAGACCGGUGCCAGCCGCCGCGGUAAUACCGGCAGCACAAGUGAUGGCCGAUAUUAUUGGGCCUAAAGCGUCCGUAGCCGGCCGGACAAGUCUGUUGGGAAAUCCACGCGCCCAACGCGUGGGCGUCCAGCGGAAACUGUCCGGCUUGGGGCCGGAGGACUCGAGGGGUACGUCCGGGGUAGGAGUGAAAUCCCGUAAUCCUGGACGGACCACCGGUGGCGAAAGCGCCUCGAGAAGACGGACCCGACGGUGAGGGACGAAAGCCAGGGUCUCGAACCGGAUUAGAUACCCGGGUAGUCCUGGCCGUAAACGAUGUCUGCUAGGUUGUGGGCGCA